AUGCCUCGUCUGUCCCUUGGCCCUCGUACUUGUAGUCGUUGUUGUAACGGGCCGGCUGGGCCCAGCCCUUCACUAACAGCCCAACAUAGCAAGGGGGCUGACAUCCCCUCCCCCUUAACAGCCGGCCCGACAGAUGUUGGACACUCGAAGAACGAUACGUUUAAAUAUCUUCGGGACCGAGUCUGGGAAAAGAUCAAAGGAUGGAUGGAGAAGUUACUGUCUUCUGCUGGCAAGGAAGUUUUAAUUAAAUCCAUAGCACAAGUGAUCCCCGUGUAUUCGAUGCCGUGUUUCAGAUUGCCAAGGGGUCUUUCUGACAGUAUCACUUCGAUUAUUCGACAGUUUUGGUGGGGUUCUAAGCAAGGGAAGAGGAAACCUAGCUGGGUAGCAUGGGAUAUCUUAACCAUGCCGAAGCAAUUGGGAGGCCUGGGUUUCCGAGACUUGGAAAUUUUCAACCUUGCAUUGUUAGCAAGGCAGGCGUGGCGCACACUCACAGAUGACACAUCUCUCAGCGCUCGAAUCCUCAAGGCGGUGUACUUCCCGGAAUGCUCUCUACUUCAAGCUGAACUUGGAGCACACCCUUCUCAGAUAUGGAGGGCGAUAUUGGAUGGGCGCGAUAUCCUAGCACAAGGUGUGGUGCGCAGAAUAGGAGAUGGUGAAUCAACGGAAAUAUGGCAACACAACUGGCUUCCUCGGGACAGUUUCAAGCGCCCUAUAACAUCUCUGGUCCCAAAUCCUCCUGAGAGACUGGCACAGCUCAUCGAUGGUACUUCUGCUUGCUGGAACGAGGGCUUGGUUCGAAUGGUGUUCACUCAUUUUGACGCCGAGGCAAUUCUGAAAAUCCCGCUGUGUACGCGCCGAGUCGAGGAUUUCUAG
rnacentral:rRNA from 1 species